rnacentral:rRNA from 1 species
UACAGGGGGUGCAAACGUUGCUCGGAAUCAUUGGGCGUAAAGCGCACGUAGGCGGUUCGUUAUGUCGGAUGUGAAAGCCCUUGGCUUAACCGAGGAAGUGCAUCCGAAACUGGCGAGCUAGAGUACUAAAGAGGAUCGCGGAAUUCCCGGUGUAGAGGUGAAAAUUCGUAGAUAUCGGGAGGAACACCGGGUGGCGAAGGCGGCGAUCUGGGUAGAUACUGACGCUGAGGUGCGAAAGCGUGGGGAGCAAACAGG